UAUCUGGUAGCAUCACCGGAACCAAUGGGC
rnacentral:piRNA from 1 species